UGAGGAAUAUUGGUCAAUGGACGCAAGUCUGAACCAGCCAAGUAGCGUGCAGGAUGACGGCCCUUUGGGUUGUAAACUGCUUUUAUAUGGGGAUAAAGUGGGGAACGUGUUCCCUUUUGCAGGUACCAUAUGAAUAAGGACCGGCUAAUUCUGUGCCAGCAGCCGCGGUAAUACGGAAGGUUCGGGCGUUAUCCGGACUUAUUGGGUUUAAAGGGAGCGUAGGCCGUUUGGUAAGCGUGUUGUGAAAUGUAGGAGCUCAACUUCUAGAGUGCAGCGCGAACUGUCAGACUUGAGUGCGCACAACGUAGGCGGAAUUCAUGGUGUAGCGGUGAAAUGCUUAGAUAUCAUGAAGAACUCCGAUUGCGAAGGCAGCGUACGGGAGCGAAACUGACGCUGAAGCUCGAAGGGGCGGGUAUCGAACAGG
rnacentral:rRNA from 1 species